rnacentral:lncRNA from 1 species
UGUGCUGUCCUGGGGCAGAGGGGUGGAAACCCCCAGUACUGCCACAACCCCAGAUGAAAACAUACCUGGGAAGAGAGUGGCAACACAGCAUCUCUAAUCACCAAGUGAAGAUGGUGAAGAAAGAAAAAAUGUUUGAAGAAAAUCAUUGACAACUCGCAGCUCGAUUGCACUCAACAACUGAGUCAGGAACUGGAUGGCAAAUACAGUUUAUAAUACCACAUGUUAACCAAGUUCAUCAGAAAUUGACGCUGGGUCUGGAAGUAUCUGAAUGGCAGCAGGGCAGUGUGCAGGGGGACAGGCACCUCGUCAGUACUGGGAACUCUGAGGCGGCCUACAACAGAGCCUAAACACAAGACCUUGAUGGUGAAAAAAGCUUAAGCAGAAAUGCAAGCAACUCUAAACUGACUGGAAAGCGGAGCGUGCACUUUGACACACACACUGUGUGCCUGCAGGAUGGGGAACAGGAGCUGGUUGGAGUUGACUUUCCUGAUUUAUUGCUUAAGCCUGAAUUACUUAUGCUUUUUAGGGUUGAUGUCUCAUCAUCACUGUUGGGUUCCCCAGGAUCCAACAAGGUGCCAGAGUUUAGGAGGAUUGCAAGCUAAAGUGGCUGUGAGUAGGUUUCUUCCAGAAAAAAUGUCUGAGAGAAAAAGGAAGGGAUAUGCUGCUGCUCUCCUUGACAGGACAAAGAUAUCCUUGUGUGGGAAACAACAUUCAUCCCUAUGUCAAAUAGACAUGUUUAUUGGAAUAGAGUAUUUAAAUCUCUGCAUAGACAUAGAUGGAAACCAGCAGCCCUAACAAGGAUGACAGGAAUUACAGAUCAUCCUGAAUGCAAUCACACGGCAUGUGCUAGAUAACCAGGGAAUCAUGCCUAGCCAACGUGGGUUCAUGAAAGGCAGGUUGUGCUUGACCAGCCUCAUCUUCUCCUAUAUGAGGUGACCCACCUGGUUUAGCAAAACCAUGUGCCAGGUCCUGCACUUUAGUUACAACAAACCCAAGUGAUAGUAUAGGCUUGGGGUAGAGUGGCUGGAAGGUUGUAUGGAGAAAAAGGAUCUGGGGGUGUUAGUCAAUGUUAUGCUGAACGUGAGCCAGCGAUGCACACAGGUGGCCAAGAAGGCCAGAGGCAUCCAGGGUUGCAUCAGAAAUAGAGCACCCAGUGGGAGCAGGGAAGCGAUCUUUCCUCUAUCAGCUCUGGUGAGGCUGCAUCUCGAGUACCAAGUUCAGCUUUGGGCCCUCACUAUAAGUACGUCACUGAAGCCCUGGAACAUGUCCAGAGAGUGGCAGUGAACCUGUGAAGGGUCUGGAGCACAAAUCUUAUGGGGAGCAGCUGAGGGAACUGGGAUUGUUCAGUCUGGAGAAGAGGAGGCUCAGGAGAGACCUUUUCAUCAUCUACAACUCCCUGAAAGGAGGCUGUGAUGAGGUGGGAGUUGUCUUCUUCUCCCAGGUAACA